rnacentral:RNase_P_RNA from 1 species
UGGUCAAUUGCUGUCAUUAGAUAGAGGAAAGUCCGCACUAGCACAAUCUGAGAUGAUUGUAGUGUUUGUACAUGUGCUAAUAACAUAUGGUGAUUUUAAAAAAAUCAACGGCAAAUUAUUUUGGACCCAUGUGGUUGACAAUAAUUUUUAAAGUGCCACAGUGACGAAACUAGUUAGCAAUAAUUAGAGUGAAACGAGGUAAACCCUGCAAGCUAGAAACCCAAAUUUUGGUAGGGGAAUUGAGACGAUCGAAAUGAAGAAAAGUCUCAAAUUAAUUUGUUCUAAAUUAAUAGAUAAAUAAUUGACGCUUUUAAAGUACAGAAUGCGGCUUAUAG